rnacentral:tRNA from 1 species
UGUGAAGUGCCUGAUUAUAGGACAAUUUUGAUAUAAUUGAAGAAGUGUGUUUCCCCCCUCCCACACCUUUGCAA